rnacentral:rRNA from 1 species
UACAGAGGGUGCGAGCGUUGCUCGGAAUCACUGGGCGUAAAGGGUGCGUAGGCGGGUCUUUAAGUCAGGGGUGAAAUCCUGGAGCUCAACUCCAGAACUGCCUUUGAUACUGAAGAUCUUGAGUUCGGGAGAGGUGAGUGGAACUGCGAGUGUAGAGGUGAAAUUCGUAGAUAUUCGCAAGAACACCAGUGGCGAAGGCGGCUCACUGGCCCGAUACUGACGCUGAGGCACGAAAGCGUGGGGAGCAAACAGG